ACUUCUUGUGUUAGGAAUUGGUCUUCUGCUGCCAGGGCUUGGUCUUCUGCUGCCAGGAUGUGGUUCCCCCCACUGUAGGUCAGGUUGUUCCCCCCACUGUUAGUCAGGUGUUGAGAUGCCUGAUUUCCCAGAGCUUCAUCUUGGGUCAGGUCUUGAGAUGCCUGUUGUUCCAGAGUGUCAUCUUGGUU
rnacentral:rRNA from 1 species